GUGAUUGGCAGCAUGUUUUUUCGAUUUCUUGGAUGUGGGACUAGGAGCGCAGCUUGCAGCAUCACAUAGAGGGCUGGAUCUAUUGAUUGAAACAGGGCUAUAACGUUCACUUGCAGCACAUGAUGAAGUUUUGAAUGAUGAAGAAGUUCAUAGCAAUAACCCGUGGUUUGGUACCGAGAACCGCUUGAUCCUGGCAGCGGUGAGAGGACCGGAAAGACAAUAAGACUGCACUAGGAAACUCUGUCUGUUUGUUACCUUAUGGAUGUAUACAUGGUGCAUGCAGAAAAGUGAAGGAGCAUUGGCUUGAAGUUUUGAAGAAGGAAGUUUAGGAUUAGGAACAAAAGACUUAAACAAAAAACAUUAGUUUUGUUGUAAGUUAUGUAACUUGUAUGAAAAUGGAUUUUUGUAAUGAAAUGUAAAUGGAUUUUGAAUUGUAUUUGAGAUGUUUGGAUGUUUGAAUCUUUUUGCAACCCUUUUUUUGGCAAAGUUUUGGAUGGAGGUGUGAAUUGGAAUUGAAUUCUAAUG